rnacentral:rRNA from 1 species
GACGAACGCUGGCGGCGUGCUUAACACAUGCAAGUCGAACGGAAAGGCCCUGCUUUUGUGGGUUGCUCGAGUGGCGAACGGGUGAGUAACACGUGAGUAACCUGCCCUUGACUUUGGGAUAACUUCAGGAAACUGGGGCUAAUACCGGAUAGGAGCUCCUGCUGCAUGGUGGGGGUUGGAAAGUUUCGGCGGUUGGGUAUGGACUCGCGGCUUAUCAGCUUGUUGGUGUGGUAGUGGCUUACCAAGGCUUUGACGGGUAGCCUGCCUGAGAGGGUGACCGGCCACAUUGGGACUGAGAUACGGCCCAGACUGCUACGGGCGGCAGCAGUGGGGAAUAUUGCACAAUGGGCGGAAGCCUGAUGCAGCAACGCCGCGUGCGGGAUGACGGCCUUCGGGUUGUAAACCGCUUUCGCCUGUGACGAAGCGUGAGUGACGGUAAUGGGUAAAGAAGCACCGGCUAACUACGUG